UGAGUUUAAUUACUUCGUCAUUUUAUGAUCCUGUUGUUAUUUGUGGUUCUUGCUCAUUUAUUUGUAGGAGGAUGACCUUAAGGUACAAAUUGUGAUUGUUGUGUGUUCACAGCCAGCUAGCUGUCAUCUUGCAGAGUUCCUAAAUCACUCUCCUUGUUCUUUCCUAGGCAGGAGCUUCAGAAGCUGACCUGCUAGUCCUGGGAUGUUCCCAGACCAAUGCAUCCCAGGAAUUAACUGUACUGCCACUGGGGUCUUCUCUCUGCUCCUCCUUUUCCUAAAAAGCGCUUCUUCCACAGAGCAGAUGAAAAGAUGCAGGGGCCUCAUUCUGACUCCAGGAAUCUUAUCAAGGGGUCCCUUCACUCUGGACUCUGAGGUGACCGCUUCCUAUUCUGCCAAGAUCAGCCCAAGGCUGCCUCCUUGUUCACUCUGUUCCCACCCUCCUCUGAGGAGCUCCAGCUCAACAAGGCCAUACUGACCUCUCUGAGGAAUGAAUUCUCCACAGGUGUAGUGAGGGUGACCUGGAAGGCACAUGAAAACCUAUCAUCCAGAGCAUGGAUACCGCUAAGCCUCCGAACAGAGCAACAAGAAGCACAUGGCCUGCAGCUACCUAACUAUGACACCUAACCACAGAAAAUCUCACUGUAGACUCAGCUUCCAGGUCAUGCACCAAAGGGACACCAUGGAGAAGAGUGUGUCCAUGGCAAAAGGAACCAGACACCUGAGCUAAGUCCAUGAUGAAGGAUCAGAGGCUGAAAUUCUCUGUUUUUGGUAGGACAUAAGGGAGAGGAAUUUCUAGGUGAAAGGUUCCACAGCUACCUCCUUUU
rnacentral:lncRNA from 1 species